AAAUUAUGAAAUGAUAAUAGAAAAGUGGUUUAAGUUAAUCGUGAAAGAUGUCAACGCAGGCGUAAAUGCAGUUUGUUUUGUUACAUGAUCUACGGCUAUUUCAUUACCAAAGCUCCUGAUAACAGAUCAAAGCAGAUGGAUCGGGCAUACAGAGUCGCCGUUUAACUUAUAAUAUCUUCGUGAUCGGCAAACACAUCAAACAGCAUGUUUUUUUUUCAACAGC